rnacentral:rRNA from 1 species
GAUGAACGCUGGCGGCGUGCCUAAUACAUGCAAGUCGAGCGAACAGACGAGGAGCUUGCUCCUCUGACGUUAGCGGCGGACGGGUGAGUAACACGUGGAUAACCUACCUAUAAGACUGGGAUAAAUUCGGGAAACCGGAGCUAAUACCGGAUAAUAUAUUGAACCGCAUGGUUCAAUAGUGAAAGACGGUUUUGCUGUCACUUAUAGAUGGAUCCGCGCCGCAUUAGCUAGUUGGUAAGGUAACGGCUUACCAAGGCAACGAUGCGUAGCCGACCUGAGAGGGUGAUCGGCCACACUGGAACUGAGACACGGUCCAGACUCCUACGGGAAGCAGCAGUAGGGAAUCUUCCGCAAUGGGCGAAAGCCUGACGGAGCAACGCCGCGUGAGUGAUGAAGGUCUUCGGAUCGUAAAACUCUGUUAUUAGGGAAGAACAAAUGUGUAAGUAACUAUGCACGUCUUGACGGUACCUAAUCAGAAAGCCACGGCUAACUACGUG